rnacentral:lncRNA from 1 species
CUCUGGCACGCUCAUUUUAUUUCUAAUUAUGUUCUGAUCUUGCUCUGCUUCUUGUGAUUUGCUUGAGACUGCUGCUGUUGGGACUAAUCGACAUAUGAACAUUUGCAUUUCUUGUUCUUUGCCUUCUUGAUCAUGUUUCGAAAGCGGUCUACUAUGAUUGAUUGUUUCUAGGGAAAAUCCAGAUGCUAUAAGUAUAUGACAAUUUUUCUUGAUGUCUUUUGAAUUCACAUGUUGAAUAAACUACCAUUUCUAAUCUUGGAUUCGCAUGUUGGCAUUUGUUUGUUUUAAACUAGAUGAAGUUACAUAUACUUCCCAAGUAGCAUGUACAAAGUAUUCAUGCAUGAAUUACUUGAUCCCAUAUUGGAUUGUUAUGGGCGCAUCACGGGGCCGAUUAUUGGUUCGGUUAUGGGAACACUUGAAAAAUCAUUAAAACAACGUGAGACUUCGCCUAAGUUUGACUGAUGAACUGCGGUUAUUAUUGCAUAGAUUUCAGGAUUAAUAGUGUAUUUUCAUUGCGACUUGAUUGAUUCUAAGAAUGGGACAUAGCACGAUACGAGUCACAUUGUUGAAAAGGCUUGCACUACAUUCAAUUUCCUAUGAAGUUGAACUUGAUCACGUUAUUCGAACUCAAUAUGUUUCAUGUUGAACUGAAUCCUCAAAAUUUUGUUUGCUUGUCUUGCUAAUCUCUUGUGAUUCUGCUAUUUUUGGGCGCGAGGGAUCAGUGGAUAACACCAUCCACAACUGGACCAUUGACGAGAAUUCAAGGUGCUCAGCGGAGCUUGCCGUCUCCAAAGUCCCCCCUGCUCCGUGGAGCUUCGAUGGGUACUCGCUAGUCAGGUGCUUCAAACCAGAUUUGAAGCAAGGGCCCAGAGUUGAUAGAGCUUCAAUAGAGUUGCCUGCUCUAUCGUAAGAAUCCAGAAAAGAAUUCCAAGAAUCAACCUCCCAAUCGGCCUUCUUUUCUGGAGAUCCAUCAACGCCGGGUUCAGGGAAGCAUUUCAGCGCCGCCUCUCAACGGCGCCGCCUCUCUCAUCUGUUGCUGCUCGGCAGCCAGCCAGCGCCGCUUCUCAACGGCGCCGCCUCUCUCCUCUGUUGCUGCUCGGCAGCCAGCCAGCGCCGCCUCUCAACGGCGCCGCCUCUCUCCUCUGUUGCUGCUCGGCAGCCAGCCAGCGCCGCCUCUCAACAGCGCCGCUUUUCUCCCUUGUCGCUGCUCGGCAACAUAGCCAGCGCCGCCUCGCGGCCUUGUCGAAGCCCGGCAGCAUAGCC